rnacentral:lncRNA from 1 species
CGAUAGAACCACGGCUUCCGAGUGAUACGAGGUUGCACACAUCCAUAGUGCUUGCCCGUCUGCAAUUUCGAGAUAUCCCAUUGCUCCUGCCAUGUGGCAAACAUGUCUGCGAGUGCGCCACUCAAAAGCCUCAAGGAUAGCAACUGCUUCGCCUGUAAAAAUUGAAGAUUGUGGAGGACAUUUAAAUGGGAGAGCUAUAUUGUAUCGAGGAAUCCACACUGCUGCUCCCACGCAACUGGUCGCAUCCAUCUUGGAAGCGUCAGUAAACAUCGUGACCUCCAGCGCCAGCGGCCACAAGCGUGGAAGCAUCAAGUGGCUAUAGUAUGAGCUGCUCUUGAUUAAGAAUCUGUCCGCAAGAUACUGUCUGCGGAGAGCCAGUGGAGGGUCAACACUUUCUACCUGCAUGCCAUUCUUCGGAGAACACCUCAUAGCGCCAAGUAUAAUCCUCAAGCAUUUUGCCUGGAUGAGGUCUAGUUUGUCAAGGCCAUCCUUAUUGCAAGGUUCCAUUAAAAGUGACCCAUAAUCUAUAUGACUGCGUAUGAUGGCAUUAUAUAGUAACUUCUGGCAAUAAGGAUGAGAACCCCACCACACCCCGGACAGUGCUCGUAACUCCUUACUCGGAAUUCUGACACCGUCAUAGUAUACAUCAGUUGUUGGCAUGUUCCUUCUGCGGCUAAAUGUAACAGUACAACUCUUUGUCGGAGACAGAGUAAGCCCAUGGUCACCGAGCCAAUCCCCAAGGUAACCCAGAGCCGUGUUCAGACUAGCAGUUGCUUUAUCCAUUGACUUUGCCAUCGUAUAUAAGACAAGAUCAUCAGCGUACUGCAAGAUGUUACAAAAGGAUAAGACAGAUUGUUCUAAGUCAUAUGUGUAUAUGUUGUAAAGAAGGGGGCUGAGUACCGAUCCUUGAGGGAGACCUCUCCACAAAGUCCGAGGAGGACAAUAGGAGUUGCCUUGUCUAAUUUUGAUAGACCUGCCCAUGAAUAGCGAGGUGACAAUGUGUACAAUCUUCGCGGGAAUGCUCAGUUGUAGCAUUUUAGCCCUGAGCACCGGAAGAAGCACAUUGUCAUAUGCAGCAGAGAUGUCGAGGAAACAUCCCAGCAGAUAUUCGUUUUUUGAUAAAAAAGAGCGAUUGGUCGAUAGGAAUUAGCCUCGUCUGGGUUUUUAGACGGCUUUAGGAUAGGAAUGACUACCUGGGACUUCCAAUCUGCUGGAACCUCUCCUGUGUUAAAGGCAUGGUUUAUGAUGCCAAGCAGAUAUUCCUGUCCGGGAGUAUUUAGCUUAGACAGGAAACAAUAUGGGAUCCCAUCCUCUCCAGCAGCGGCUCUGGCGG